UACGGAGGGUGCAAGCGUUAUCCGGAUUCACUGGGGUUAAAGGGUGCGUAGGUGGAUUGGUAAGUCAGUGGUGAAAUCUCCGGGCUUAACCCGGAAACUGCCAUUGAUACUAUCAGUCUUGAAUACCGUGGAGGUCAGUAGAAUAUGUCAUGUAGCGGUGAAAUGCUUAGAUAUGACAUAGAAUACCAAUUGCGAAGGCAGCUGGCUACACGAAUAUUGACGCUGAGGCUCGAAAGCGUGGGGAUCAAACAGG
rnacentral:rRNA from 1 species